rnacentral:rRNA from 1 species
AUUGAACGCUGGCGGCAGGCCUAACACAUGCAAGUCGAACGAGUGGCGGACGGGUGAGUAAUGUCUGGGACACUGCCUGAUGGAGGGGGAUAACUACUGGAAACGGUAGCUAAUACCGCAUACCAUCGGAUGUGCCCCGAUGGGCUUAGCUUGUUGGUGGGGUAACGGCUCACCAAGGCGACGAUCCCUAGCUGGUCUGAGAGGAGGACACGCCACACUGGAACGGAGAAACGGUCCAGCCUCCUACGGGAGGCAGCGGUGGGGAAGAUUGCACAAUGGGCGCAAGCCUGAUGCAGCCAUGCCGCGUGUAUGAAGAAGGCCUUCGGGUUGUAAAGUACUUUCAGCGGGGAGGCGGUACCCGCAGAAGAAGCACCGGCUAACUCCGUGCCAGCAGCCGCGGUAAUAC